rnacentral:rRNA from 1 species
AAACCGUUCAGGGGUAAACCUGAGAAACCCAAAAGAUCGAAUGGGGAGAUUCAUCGUCAGCGGCCCUGACUUCGCGGUAGUGACGAUGCCGUAGGCUUCGGCUUAUCGGCACGUCAUAGGCCGCGAGUGUCCAGGCGUCCGUCGUCGUGCACUUCUCCCCUAGUAGGACGUCGCGACCCGUUGAGUGUCGGUCUACGGCCCAGGUGGGCGACUGUCGCGUAGCUUCGGCGUACGCGGCAGACCCUUGGUCGCCCGACCGGCUGCUCGGCGGUACGCGCAUGGUAUUUGGUCGCAAUCUUAAUUGCGUCCGGACGGUCGCAAGCGCGGCUUCAGUGUUAACUCGGAUGUCGGACUUUGCGCCGUCCCCGGGCCUGGCCAGCUGUUGGCGGACUGUUCUCUCGGACAGACCAUCGAAUUGAAUACCGGUCGGCGACGCUACUGCUUUGGGUACUCUCAGGACCCGUCUUGAAACACGGACCAAGGAGUCUAACAUGUGCGCGAGUCAUUGGGACGGAAAAGCCUAAAGGCGCAAUGAAAGUGAAGGUCGACCUAGCGUCGACAGAGGGAGGACGGGCCGCGUCACGAUGCGGCUCAGCACUCCCGGGGCGUCUCGUUCUCAUUGCGAGAAGAGGCGCACCUAGAGCGUACACGUUGGGACCCGAAAGAUGGUGAACUAUGCCUGGUCAGGACGAAGUCAGGGGAAACCCUGAUGGAGGUCCGUAGCGAUUCUGACGUGCAAAUCGAUCGUCGGAACUGGGUAUAGGGGCGAAAGACUAAUCGA